CCAAGGGUUCCUGUCCAACGUUAAUCGGGGCAGGGUGAGUCGACCCCUAAGGCGAGGCCGAAAGGCGUAGUCGAUGGGAAACAGGUUAAUAUUCCUGUACUUGGUGUUACUGCGAAGGGGGGACGGAGAAGGCUAUGUUAGCCGGGCGACGGUUGUCCCGGUUUAAGCAUGUAGGCUGAUUGUCCAGGCAAAUCCGGAUAAUCAAGGCUGAGGUGUGAUGACGAGGCACUACGGUGCUGAAGUAACAAAUGCCCUGCUUCCAGGAAAAGCCUCUAAGCAUCAGGUAACAUUAAAUCGUACCCCAAACCGACACAGGUGGUCAGGUAGAGAAUACCAAGGCGCUUGAGAGAACUCGGGUGAAGGAACUAGGCAAAAUGGUGCCGUAACUUCGGGAGAAGGCACGCUGGUGUGUAGGUGAAGUCCCUGCGGAUGGAGCUGAGACCAGUCGAAGAUACCAGCUGGCUGCAACUGUUUAUUAAAAACACAGCACUGUGCAAACACGAAAGUGGACGUAUACGGUGUGACGCCUGCCCGGUGCCGGAAGGUUAAUUGAUGGGGUUAUCCGUAAGGAGAAGCUCUUGAUCGAAGCCCCGGUAAACGGCGGCCGUAACUAUAACGGUCCUAAGGUAGCGAAAUUCCUUGUCGGGUAAGUUCCGACCUGCACGAAUGGCGUAAUGAUGGCCAGGCUGUCUCCACCCGAGACUCAGUGAAAUUGAACUCGCUGUGAAGAUGCAGUGUACCCGCGGCAAGACGGAAAGACCCCGUGAACCUUUACUAUAGCUUGACACUGAACAUUGAGCCUUGAUGUGUAGGAUAGGUGGGAGGCUUUGAAGCGUGGACGCCAGUCUGCGUGGAGCCAACCUUGAAAUACCACCCUUUAAUGUUUGAUGUUCUAACGUUGGCCCCUGACCGGGGUUGCGGACAGUGUCUGGUGGGUAGUUUGACUGGGGCGGUCUCCUCCCAAAGCGUAACGGAGGAGCACGAAGGUUAGCUAAUCCUGGUCGGACAUCAGGAGGUUAGUGCAAUGGCAUAAGCUAGCUUGACUGCGAGCGUGACGGCGCGAGCAGGUGCGAAAGCAGGUCAUAGUGAUCCGGUGGUUCUGAAUGGAAGGGCCAUCGCUCAACGGAUAAAAGGUACUCCGGGGAUAACAGGCUGAUACCGCCCAAGAGUUCAUAUCGACGGCGGUGUUUGGCACCUCGAUGUCGGCUCAUCACAUCCUGGGGCUGAAGUAGGUCCCAAGGGUAUGGCUGUUCGCCAUUUAAAGUGGUACGCGAGCUGGGUUUAGAACGUCGUGAGACAGUUCGGUCCCUAUCUGCCGUGGGCGCUGGAGAAUUGAGGGGGGCUGCUCCUAGUACGAGAGGACCGGAGUGGACGCAUCACUGGUGUUCGGGUUGUCAUGCCAAUGGCACUGCCCGGUAGCUAAAUGCGGAAGAGAUAAGUGCUGAAAGCAUCUAAGCACGAAACUUGCCCCGAGAUGAGUUCUCCCUGAGACUUUAAGUCUCCUGAAGGAACGUUAAAGACGAUGACGUUGAUAGGCCGGGUGUGUAAGCGCAGCGAUGCGUUGAGCUAACCGGUACUAAUGAACCGUGAGGCUUAACCUU
rnacentral:rRNA from 1 species